rnacentral:rRNA from 1 species
UCAAUAUGGAGGAUCACUUAGUCCUUGAAGCGAUGAAAAACAUAGCAAUUUGUGGAAACUGAUGUGAGUUGUGAACUCUUAUGAUCAUUGUGUAUUUGAAUGAGAAUUUCGGCACGAGUACUUCGGUAUUUGC